AUUGAACGCUGGCGGGAGGCCUUACACAUGCAAGUCGAACGAGUGGCGGACGGGUGAGUAAUGUAUCGGAACCUGCCCGGUGGAGGGGGAUAACUACUCGAAACAGUGGCUAAUACCGCAUACUAUCGGAGGGGCCGAUAUCGGAUUAGCUAGUUGGUGGGGUAAAGGCUCACCAAGGCAACGAUCCGUAGCUGGUUUGAGAGGAUGACCAGCCACACUGGGACUGAGACACGGCCCAGACUCCUACGGGAGGCAGCAGUUGGGAAUUUUUGACAAUGGGCGAAACCCUGAUCCAGCCAUGCCGCGUGUAUGAGAAGGCCUUCGGGUUGUAAAGCACUUUUGGCAGAGAAGCGGUAUCUGCAGAAUAAGCACCGGCUAACUACGUGCCAGCAGCCGCGGUAAUAC
rnacentral:rRNA from 1 species